AAAGUCACUUGAUGUUUUUAUGUUUUUCAUAUGUACCUUUGUUUAAACAACAUUAAUUCCUCGAUUUCCUCGAUGGAAAUUAAUAUUAAAAAUGCUUUUCACAAAGCUGUUAAAAUCACAUUCGAACCUUGUUCGUCAAUUUAUACUGCAGUUACAAAGUCAAUCCAAAAUGAAAUCAUUAAAAUCACUUACAACUUGCUUGUAAGACCAGAACUUACAACUUUUAUGACUUUUUUUAUAAUGAUUGCCUUGACAUGUAGUCUAACGAUAUUUUUGAUUGUUUAUUUUGGGAUCAUAUGUUUUAUAGUGAGUGUUAUCAUGUUUGAAGGUCUGCUUGUUUCAAUCGUCAUCCUCAUCAUUUUGAACGGGACGUUUAUUACUAUUUUAAUAUCAGCAGUGAUUUUCAAAUUAAAAAAUAAUAAAUAUAAUAAUUAGUUAGCUAAGUAGUUAUUUAAGUUAUAAAAGUGAUUAUAAAUCCCAUAUGUACAUAUUAUCUACGUAGUAGAAUAGCAAUGGACUUAAUUUUAUAAUCUUGUAAUCGUACAAAAUUAUUAAAAUAAGUGUUCAGUUUAAUAAAUGAUAUAAAAAACUAUGCUAGGUAGUUAGA